rnacentral:rRNA from 1 species
GACGAACGCUGUCGGCGUGCUUAACACAUGCAAGUCGAACGGAAAGGCCCUGCUUUUGUGGGGUGCUCGAGUGGCGAACGGGUGAGUAACACGUGAGUAACCUGCCCUUGACUUUGGGAUAACUUCAGGAAACUGGGGCUAAUACCGGAUAGGAGCUCCUGCUGCAUGGUGGGGGUUGGAAAGUUUCGGCGGUUGGGGAUGGACUCGCGGCUUAUCAGCUUGUUGGUGGGGUAGUGGCUUACCAAGGCUUUGACGGGUAGCCGGCCUGAGAGGGUGACCGGCCACAUUGGGACUGAGAUACGGCCCAGACUCCUACGGGAGGCAGCAGUGGGGAAUAUUGCACAAUGGGCGGAAGCCUGGUGCAGCAACGCCGCGUGCGGGAUGACGGCCUUCGGGUUGUAAACCGCUUUCGCCUGUGACGAAGCGUGAGUGACGGUAAUGGGUAAAGAAGCACCGGCUAACUACGUGCCAGCAGCCGCGGUGAUACGUAGGGUGCGAGCGUUGUCCGGAUUUAUUGAGCGUAAAGGGCUCGUAGGUGGUUGAUCGCGUCGGAAGUGUAAUCUUGGGGCUUAACCCUGAGCGUGCUUUCGAUACGGGUUGACUUGAGGAAGGUAGGGGAGAAUGGAAUUCCUGGUGGAGCGGUGGAAUGCGCAGAUAUCAGGAGGAACACCAGUGGCGAAGGCGGUUCUCUGGGCCUUUCCUGACGCUGAGGAGCGAAAGCGUGGGGAGCGAACAGGCUUAGAUACCCUGGUAGUCCACGCUGUAAACGGUGGGUACUAGGUGUGGGGUCCAUUCCACGGGUUCCGUGCCGUAGCUAACGCUUUAAGUACCCCGCCUGGGGAGUACGGCCGCAAGGCUAAAACUCAAAGGAAUUGACGGGGCCCCGCACAAGCGGCGGAGCAUGCGGAUUAAUUCGAUGCAACGCGUAGAACCUUACCUGGGUUUGACAUGGAUCGGGAGUGCUCAGAGAUGGGUGUGCCUCUUUUGGGGUCGGUUCACAGGUGGUGCAUGCCUGUCGUCAGCUCGUGUCGUGAGAUGUUGGGUUAAGUCCCGCAACGAGCGCAACCCUUGUUCACUGUUGCCAGCACGUUAUGGUGGGGACUCAGUGGAGACCGCCGGGGUCAACUCGGAGGAAGGUGGGGAUGACGUCAAGUCCUCAUGCCCCUUAUGUCCAGGGCUUCACGCAUGCUACAAUGGCUGGUACAGAGAGUGGCGAGCCUGUGAGGGUGAGCGAAUCUCGGAAAGCCGGUCUCAGUUCGGAUUGGGGUCUGCAACUCGACCUCAUGAAGUCGGAGUCGCUAGUAAUCGCAGAUCAGCAACGCUGCGGUGAAUACGUUCCCGGG